rnacentral:rRNA from 1 species
CCUACGGGUGGCAGCAGUGGGGAAUAUUGCACAAUGGGGGAAACCCUGAUGCAGCGACGCCGCGUGAGUGAAGAAGUAUUUCGGUAUGUAAAGCUCUAUCAGCAGGGAAGAAGAUGACGGUACCUGAGUAAGAAGCCCCGGCUAACUACGUGCCAGCAGCCGCGGUAAUACGUAGGGGGCAAGGGUUAUCCGGAUUUACUGGGUGUAAAGGGAGCGUAGACGGUGAGACAAGUCUGAAGUGAAAGCCCAGGGCUCAACCCCGGGACUGCUUUGGAAACUGCCAGACUGGAGUGCUGGAGAGGCAAGCGGAAUUCCUAGUGUAGCGGUGAAAUGCGUAGAUAUUAGGAAGAACACCAGUGGCGAAGGCGGCUUACUGGACAGUAACUGACGUUGAGGCUCGAAAGCGUGGGGAGCAAACAGGAUUAGAUACCCGGGUAGUC